UCUGAUCUCUAAGGAAUUACAUUUUUAGCAAGUUAAAGAAAAUCAGGAUCUGAGUUAUUUUACUAAACUCGGGGGGAAGAGAAAAACAAAUAAAUGAAUUCUUUAUUGUAUAUCAAUAUGACUCACUUGUAUUGAAAGAUAGUGAAAUGAAGGUAUCAAUUCAAAUGUGCUGGCAUUUCAAAACCUAUAGAAGAAUAUAUUCUGUGAUUUAAGUAAUAGAAUAAAAGGAAAGGGAAAGGGAGAAGCAAUGGAGGGAAAUAUUUUGUCACGUAACAAAAAGAAGUUGAUCUCAGAAACUGUACUUGCCAAGUGAAAAGGAAAAAGUAUUCAUAGAUAUUUUUACAUAAUUUGAUCAUGAAGAGCAUAUCAUCUGUGU
rnacentral:lncRNA from 1 species